UCGAUUCCUGCAAGAGCAGAACGACCCGCGAACAUGUGA
rnacentral:rRNA from 1 species